GGGAGAGUGGCCGAGUGGUUAAAAGCGACAGACUGUAAAUCUGCUGAAGGUUUUCUGUUCAAAUCCUGCCUCUCCCA
rnacentral:tRNA from 2 species